AUAUUCAAAUCACGUGGGAUGGGCGCGCUACGCAGAAAUGGUGCAUUUUCUUCCGGACAGUUAAGGGGAUGAAAAAAAAGUUAUUCUUGCCACAAUAGACAGAAGGGAGGCUUUGUAAUCGGAAUAACGGUCCGCCGGAGAUGUACAUAUCGCAGAUUUUUUUUCCCGUGUCGCGUUGAUGCCGCCAUCUUUUUAAUGUGGAAAAAUAUUCCAUACGGACAUGCGGGGUUAAAACGUUACACCGUGGGAUUAAAAGCUUGCUUACCAAUUACUUAUAAUUAUACAUAAGUAUGUGAGUGUGUCCCCUGCAACAGACCGCCAUCCCAGCCCCGGUUCCGUCCUGCUGCGCGGUUCCAUGGAGAGGUGCCGGACCUACCGUGAUCCACUGCUGGCUGAAGGAUGUUUCAGCACACAGUGGUGGGAUUCCGGGGAAAAAAAAGCUUUCCAUCAAAAUCCAGCAGGGCGGCGAACUUGGACGUGUGGCCAGGACUGCGGCGGUAAUCGCCCUUGACGUUGGGGGCCCCAUCGUGUCCGCCGUUCGCCGAGAGAGAGCGCCGUCCGGCGCUGCAUCCUGCCACCCUGCCGUGGCAGAUGUGCGCAGCGCUGGCCAGCUGUGCCCAGCAGUCUCCAUUCUGCGCAGCCCAACUCUCAUUGACAUUGAACCCACCCGAGCGUUGUGGCGCUUCGCCGUAAAAAAAUAACGACGCCCGUGGCUUCCCGCGGCGGCCUCGCCUUUCAGUAGGACGACAGGGAAG